rnacentral:lncRNA from 1 species
UCUUCUUUAUUUUCAUUCAUUCAUUCCCUGAAUCGCAACCUUUACAAUUCUUCAUUACACUAGAAUUAUAUUUAUUCUCAUUUCAGAAUAAACAUUCUUUAUCUAUUCAACAUUUAUAACUAUACAUAACUGCCCAUUUACAUUUAGCAACUAUUAAUCAUAGCUUUAUACCAUUUCUAAUUCAAAGAAAUGUAUUCAUUUCGUCCAUCAUUCAUCUUUCAUCAUCCGCAAAACAAAUAAUAUUGCAUAACGUCAUUAACCUGCAAAAAGUUUGUGUUUGCAAGAUUGAGCUCGACAGUCCAGCAAAUUUAACAGCCUAUCAUGUUUCACAUAACACACAAUUCCAUAUACACUACAUUUCCUUUAAUAUGCAUAUCCGCAUGCAACAUAUAUUCUUUACUAUGCAUAUCCUACAUGCAUCAAUAAUUCCUUACAAAGCAUACAUUCAUGCAUUAUACAUUUCUAAUUUAUCGAGUUACAUCAUACAACAUGUGUUUUCACAAAUCACAUAUAAAUUGAGUUCCAUAACCCAAUUAACUUAGUAAUAUUUUGACUUUAACAAUUCAUAGAGCAUGAUAUGUAAUUUAGCACAUAACCACAUUCCAUCCACAAACAUAACAGAACUGAAAAACUUGCCUUAAUUGAGGAUUACCGCUAUAGUUUACUUUAACUUCUUCUCACGAAUCCUACACAAUCGUGUUCACAUACACGCAUAUUAGAUAACCAAUUAUGUCACAUGACCUGCACAUAUUAAAUAAUCAUAUAAGUCAUGAUCAUUAGUUACCAUAACCUAUAAUCUUUUAUUCUUGUCUUAUAACUAUUCUCGGUUUCUUUAGAAACUUUAUUUGUUUAAACCUUUUUAUACAUAAUAAGGUUCUCACAUGACUUUAGUGUAUAAAUACUUUACAUCCCGAAACAUAAACCACUUAUAUUCUAUUUUUAAGAAUAUUCCUCUUUUAUAGUAAAUUCGGAACCAUAUGGUUUAUGAAUAAUUUUUACUGCACAAACAUGGCUUACUACAUCAUUUCUUUAAUUUCGGUAAUUUUCAUACCUUUUCGAUAGUUCAUGUGUUAAAUCACGUUAUCGCCACAUACGCGAAUGCUGCACUUUAUAUGUAGCUUAGCUUCGCAUUAUUCCCGUGAAUAACUUACAUUUUCGCUUCGCUUGUACUUUAAAUUCAUACAUAUAACAUUAUGUAAUUUUGUGUUCAAAAUCUCCGUUUCGAAUUUCAGACACUUUCGUUUUAACACUUUUAUGUCCAGCAUUUCAUUUAGCUUUAUACCCGUUUUGCAUAUUAUUUCUCGGCUUACGUUUGCGUAAACAUGUAAACUUAUGUUUACAUUACAAGUUUAUUGUUUUCCUUGCGCUCAAGAUGAGUUUUCAUGGCAUAAAGUUGUUAUAUUACAUUUUUACUUCCAUUUCGGUGUCUUGCUACAUACCAAAUAAUUAAAACCAACCAAGAAUCGCAUCGCGGAAUCAACUGGCUAAACAGCACAACGUUGCUAGCAGUUGGGCCUCGCGUGGCCCUGCGUGGCUUAGCCGGGCUCGGCGUUGCCUGGGCAGUUCCCUUGCUUUGACACUCAUUUCGUGAUGCUAUAUCUUUUAAACCACUCGUUCAUAUGCUUUGAAUUUUGGAUAUGUUAGGCAGUAUAUCCAUCUAAUUAUAAACAUUAUAAUCCAAGCAUUACAAGAAAACCAAAUUGCCAAAACCACAAGCCAAAACCAGCUGGGUAAAUUGUAUAGCACAGCGCCGGACGGCGUGCGCGCGCGGCUGGUGCAGCGCAUGCCCAGCUGGGCUGCUGGCCCAAUAACGAAAUGCAUAGUUUGCGCAUUUUUAACUUUUCGCUCGUAGUUCGAAUUGCAACCACUUUUUGAUAUAUUGAAAACACCCUAAUAGACUAUUUUUUAAAAAAUAUAAGCCACCCAUUUCAAAAACUUUAAACAGUCCAAACAAUGCUCCAAAAAUGCUCUGUCAUAACAGUUUUUAAUUGUUUUCCAGCUUGACCCUGUUGCGCUAAAACAGUCAUAACUUCUUCGUUUCAAAACAUUUUUGAGCGAUUCUUGAGCCCACACGAAGCUAACUUCCAGGACUACAACUUUUAUUCUUUGACCAUUUUCAAAUUCUAAACACAGAAUUCUAGAAAAUUCGUGUAAGGGCUGCUUCAAAUCUAUUUUCCAGAAUUUUGGCAGAUUCGACGCAACUACUUUGAACUGUCAUAACUCCUUGCUCCGAAGUCGGAAUCAUUCUGUUCCAAAAUCUAUGAAAAGCUUAUUCAGUAUACUACACAUCCCCAAAAGCCCAGAAUUUUUUGGAAAGUCUAGGUAGUCCCGAAUUUUUUUCAAGGUCAACAGCCAAAUUAGUUUUCGGUUUUUAAUAUAUUUUACUAAACCACUGACUAUAAAAUUCAUUUUAACUUCUUCUUUGUUCAUACCAAUUAACACGAAACGUGUUCCUACCUCUAGACUUUAUUACAAGGUAAAAAUUACAUUACAUUUUCAUUCUUACCAACAUCUUUACGGUAUAAAACAGAUGGGUACUCAAACAUCACAGAUUUUGGUUUCACCCAAUUUGAUAGAAAAUCUAUAAAACUCAUUUUAAACUUGAUUUAAUACACUUAAACAACUUUAGUUAUCUUAUAACUCAUGUAAAUAUACUAUCUUGGCCCGAACAUUAGCCAAUUCCCAUGAUUUAGCAUAAUAGUCUCUUUGAACCAUUUUAUCGAACAUGUAAUAUGCAUAGCAUGUAAAGUCAGAUUUUUCAUGGAUUUUAAACAUGUAAUCAUGCCAUCUCCUUUCAAAAUUCUUCUUAUAUCCUCUGACUCCAUUUGAUUCCACCAUCCAAAUAACAUCCCACAACCAAACAUGGCAAUAACAGUAAACAAUUACUAAAUUUUCAUGAAUUUACUAAGGAAGCUUACAUACCUUUUCAAUAAAAUUUAACAAACACUAUUUCUAACUUGGUGAUGAACAAGUGUAAUCCUUCCUGUAGCAAUUGCUUUCUACUUCCCACCGAUUUAUUUGUUAGUUCCCAUCUCUUCUUGUAUGCUUGGUGAUUUCAAUAGAAAUUGGAGAAGUUGGGAAUUAGGUUUUUUUUUUCGCGAAUAGAAGGGAUCAGGGGAUGGAGAAGGAACAGAGGAGUAAUAGUAACUUUCCUCUUUGAUCAUACAAGAGUUUUACAGCUCAUGCUUUGUUUGUUGCUUAGUGUUCCGUUUUACUGCUUCACAAAUAAACACCUCAUGCUGAGCUUAGUGUUAUUAUUUCUAAUAUAUUGACAGCUCCAGCUUAACCCAAAAUAACUCAG